GAUGAACGCUGGCGGCGUGCCUAAUACAUGCAAGUCGAGCGAACAGACGAGGAGCUUGCUCCUCUGACGUUAGCGGCGGACGGGUGAGUAACACGUGGAUAACCUACCUAUAAGACUGGGAUAACUUCGGGAAACCGGAGCUAAUACCGGAUAAUAUAUUGAACCGCAUGGUUCAAUAGUGAAAGACGGUUUUGCUGUCACUUAUAGAUGGAUCCGCGCCGCAUUAGCUAGUUGGUAGGGUAACGGCUUACCACGGCGACGAUGCGUAGCCGACCUGAGAGGGUGAUCGGCCACACUGGAACUGAGACACGGUCCAGACUCCUACGGGAGGCAGCAGUAGGGAAUCUUCCGCAAUGGGCGAAAGCCUGACGGAGCAACGCCGCGUGAGUGAUGAAGGUCUUCGGAUCGUAAAACUCUGUUAUUAGGGAAGAACAAAUGUGUAAGUAACUAUGCACGUCUUGACGGUACCUAAUCAGAAAGCCACGGCUAACUACGUG
rnacentral:rRNA from 1 species